GGGAUGUGCUCAGAGCAGAGAGACUAAAGAAACAGCUCCUCUGUUUCCAACACUCCCAAUGGCAAUCUGGGUUCACUGUGACGAGGGGCACAAAACUUGGGGCCUUCCUACCCUACAUGUGUCCCCCUACACAU
ensembl:snoRNA